UGGGGAAUCUUGCACAAUGGGGGCAACCCUGAUGCAGCGACGCCGCGUGAGCGAUGAAGCCCUUCGGGGCGUAAAGCUCUUUCGACCGGAACGAUAAUGACGGUACCGGGAGAAGAAGCUGCGGCUAACUUCGUGCCAGCAGCCGCGGUAAUACGUAGGCAGCAAGCGUUGUUCGGAGUUACUGGGCGUAAAGAGUGCGUAGGCGGUUUUCUAAGUUCGGUGUGAAAUCUCCCGGCUUAACUGGGAGGGUGCGCCGAAGACUGGGAAGCUGGAGUGUGGGAAAGGCAGGCGGAAUUCCUGGUGUAGCGGUGAAAUGCGUAGAUAUCAGGAGGAACACCGGCGGUGUAGACGGCUUGCUAGACCAUAACUGACGCUGAGGCACGAAAGCGUGGGUAGCAAACA
rnacentral:rRNA from 1 species